AACGAACGCUGGCGGCGCGCCUAAUACAUGCAAGUCGAGCGAGAAGACGUAGCAAUACGUUUGUAAAGCGGCGAACGGGUGAGGAAUACAUGGGUAACCCUACCCUCGAGUGGGGAAUAACUAGCCGAAAGGUUAGCUAAUACCGCGUACGCUCCUUGGACUUCGGUUCAGGGAGGAAAGCGAUACCGUGGGUAUCGCGCUCUUGGAUGGGCUCAUGUCCUAUCAGCUUGUUGGUGAGGUAACGGCUCACCAAGGCUUCGACGGGUAGCUGGUCUGAGAGGACGAUCAGCCACACUGGCACUGCGACACGGGCCAGACUCCUACGGGAGGCAGCAGUAAGGAAUAUUGCGCAAUGGGCGAAAGCCUGACGCAGCGACGCCGCGGUGGGGGA
rnacentral:rRNA from 1 species